rnacentral:lncRNA from 1 species
CUCGCCGAGGACGAAGAGGCUGGCGUGCCCGGUGGCUCGGCUAGCUCCCGGGUCCCGGCCCCGCCUGGAGGAUGCGGCUGUGGGGGAAUGGGAGCGGCCGGACCUCCCAGCCUGACAGUGCAUCAAGAGCUUUGCGGAGCCUACAGCCCGGAUGGGACGACUGAGGCCCUCCCGCUGGCGAGCUGGCCGAGGGCUCGUCCCUCUCCAGCUAAAGCGCCAGCUUACGAUACAGCCAAACUGCCGGCUCUCAUCGGCUGUGGGAGCAGGAGGCCCCCAGGGGUAAAUCCCGGAGCCUCGUCUCUGAAGCCUGGCGCUUGUGUCUCAGAAGAUGGAGUUCCUCUCUUGUGGCCCAGGCUGGAGUGCAAUAGCACCAUCUCGGCUCACUGCAACCUCUGCCUCCCAGGUUCAAGUGAUUCUCCUGCCUUAGCCUCCUGAGUAGCUAGGAUUACAGAUUUAUAGGAGCAUUGUGACUGGACCAAGGACAAAGAAGUUCCCAACCUCCUCAGACCCUCGCUGCUGCCCAGAUGUCUGCCAUGGGGUGGCCAUCAUCGAAUCCACUGAGGGCGCAAAUAGAACAAAAAGGUGAAGAAAAGGUGAAUUCUCUCCUUUCUUGAGCUGGGACAUCCAACUUCUCAGACAUCAGAGCUCCUGGAGGCCUUCAGACUCCGAGACAUUACACCAUUGGCUCACCUGGUCCUCAGGUCUUUGGACUUGGAAUGAAUUACACCAUUGGCUUUCCAGGUCUUCCAGCUUGCAGAUGGCAGAUUGUGGGACUUUUCAGCCUCCAUAACUUUGUCAUCCAAUUCCCAUAAUAAAUCGCCUCUUAUAUCUGUAUCUGUUUGGUUCUGUUCUGGAGAUCCCGGAUU